rnacentral:sRNA from 1 species
AACGAAAUACGGUUCGGCGACCACAGCCAC